ACACAAAUUGUUCUUUGAGCGAAAGUAUCUAAGUCACAAGGAUAUGAUACUGAGCCGGGAUAAGCUGUUUUAUGUCAGGCGUUGUCCCCGGGGUUUGGAUGGAAACAGACGGGCCUUCCUUUUUGAAAAAAAGAACAUGAAGUGGUCGU
rnacentral:ncRNA from 2 species